AUCGCUUCUUGGCCUUUUGGCUAAGAUCAAGUGUAGUAAGAUAAACUGAGACACAUGAAAGUCAUUUGGAUGCAGCUAAAUCCUUU
rnacentral:snRNA from 1 species